UACGGGGGGGGCAAGCGUUGUUCGGAAUCACUGGGCGUAAAGGGCGUGUAGGCGGUCGAGUAAGUGGGAUGUGAAAUGCCUCGGCUUACCCGGGGACCGGCAUCCCAAACUGCUUGGCUUGAGUAUGGGAGAGGAUGAGGGAAUUCCUGGUGUAGCGGUGAAAUGCGUAGAUAUCAGGAGGAACACCGGUGGCGAAAGCGCUCAUCUGGCCCAAUACUGACGCUGAGGCGCGAAAGCUAGGGGAGCAAACAGG
rnacentral:rRNA from 1 species